rnacentral:rRNA from 1 species
UAAUACGAAGGGGGCUAGCGUUAAUCGGAAUUACUGGACGUAAAGCGCACGCAGGCGGUUUGUUAAGUCAGAUGUGAAAUCCCCGGGCUCAACCUGGGAACUGCAUUUGAAACUGGCAAGCUAGAGUCUCGUAGAGGGGGGUAGAAUUCCAGGUGUAGCGGUGAAAUGCGUAGAGAUCUGGAGGAAUACCGGUGGCGAAGGCGGCCCCCUGGACGAAGACUGACGCUCAGGUGCGAAAGCGUGGGGAGCAAACAGGAUUAGAUACCCUGGUAGUCCACGCUGUAAACGAUGUCGAUUUGGAGGUUGUGCCCUUGAGGCGUGGCUUCCGGAGCUAACGCGUUAAAUCGACCGCCUGGGGAGUACGGCCGCAAGGUUA